AUGACCGGUGUAAAAGAAGUGUUCCCAGAGGCUGAACAUAGGGAAUGUAUGUUUCACUUGGUGUCCAACUUCAAGAAGAAGUUUCAUGGAAAGGUUUUUGAUGACCACCUUUGGGCUGCUGCUUACUCAUGGAACCCAUAUUUAUUUGAGAAAAAUUGGGUUGCAAUGGACAUACCAAAGCCAACGGCAACUACAUAUCUUAGGAAGUGGCACACUAGGUUGUGGUCUAGGAGUCAGUUCUCAACAAUUUCCAAGGUGGAUUAUGUUACAAGCUCAGAAGAAGUUGCUGAAGUAACCGCAUUGGGAGGCAGCGGCUUUAGGUUUGUGGUCAACUUGCUUGACAGGACAUGUUCUUGUAGACAAUGGGAAGUUUUUGGCCUUCCUUGCAAACAUGGUCUAGCAUUUAUCACAUCUCUUACCAAUGCACGCAUAGAGAACUAUGUGGACUUGUGUUACUCCAUUCACAAAUUUAGAGCAGCUUAUGACCAACUAAUCCCUGCCAUGGUUGACAAGAACUAG
rnacentral:rRNA from 1 species